UGUGUGAGGCAGAGUUUGCUUCAGCCCAACUUUUUAUUAGGAAGUUAGAAAAGACACACACAGACAGACACGUGGCUUGGACGCUCAACUUUGAGGCUCGUGGGUGUUUGGUUGGAGGAGCUGGAAGUUGGGCCUUCUGGAUCCACGGCUGACAGGGCAGCUGUGCAUGCACAGUCCCGCUCAGCGCUCGUAGCUGUGAGGACACAGCGAGUGCAGCUGCAGCGGUCAUGGCUGCUGGCUUCCUAAUUACAAGAUUAUUGCUGGUCUGUUUGUUGAGUGAGGUGAACUACUCCUCAGCUUUUCCAAGAGCCAGAAGUUUUGUGCAACCGAGAGUGUGGCAAAGUGAAGGAGAGGAGGAAGAAGUCUAUAACUAUGAGAACUGUCAUCCUUUCUACUACAUCAGUGCCCAGGACAAAACAUCGGAAAAGCAGGGAGGUUUUAUGGCAGCCCCUAUCCAUAUCUGUAAACAAAACCAUCCCAGUGUGUACCAAAAAGCCUUAAACCUCAAGCCUGCAAACCCCUUCCAGCCACGAUCUAAUGUUGCCACCAAAUGGCCAAAGAAGACUGUUCUACCCCAGCCUCCAUCACAGAAGAAAUAUCUAUCACCCAAACCCAAAAGCUAUGAAUUUAGUCUGAGCAUUCCUUAUUUUGAUCUUUUGGUCAGAAAUGAAGGGGGGGAUUUGGCCAGUGAAGGACAUGAUGGUGGAAAUUAUACUGCUCCUGUCUCCAAACCAGGCUUUCAAAUCGAUUUAUCCAUUCCCUUAUCAUCUGUUUCUCAAUCUCCCAAUAUCCCAAUGACCAGCUAUGUUGACCAUUCAGUAAAUCAAGAAAAUCCAGAGAACACUGAGUUUGUCAAUUACGGUAACAUAAAGCCGGAAAUGCCACAAUCAAGGCAACCCUUCUUAAACUCUGCUGGUAGUAGUUACUUAGAUGCACAGGAGCAGACUUAUCAACCAUAUUCCAUCGAAACACAAUCAAGUUCAACUCUUCUUGGAUCAGCAAGACCUUUUCUAAAUUUUCAAACACAGGAGCAGACUUAUGGACCAGGUCACGUUAAACCACAAACUUCCACCCUGCAUGAAACUGAAAGGCCUUUCUUCAACUUUGAAACACCACCACAAGAGACUUUAGAGCCAAGUCGUGUUAAACCCCAAUCAAGUUCUGCAAUAACUGGAUCAGAAUGGCCUUUCUUUAACUCGGCAGCAACACAGCACCAGACAUAUGAACCAGGUUAUCUUAAACCACAAUCAAUUUCAGGCCCGGGAGGAUCAGAUUGGCCUGCUUUAAACUCAGCACCAACCCAGCCACAAACCUUUGAGGCUGAUGGUAUUAAACCGCAAUCAAGUUCAACCCUUGGCACAUCAGAAUGGCCUGCCUUCAAUUUGGCACCACCACGGCAACAAACCUUUGAGGGAGAUGGUCUUAAACCACAGUCAAGUUUAACCCUUGGUGGAUCAGAAUCUCCUGUCCUAAACUUGGCACCAAUUCAUCAACAGACUCAUGAGUCAGGUUAUCUUAAACCACAAUCAAGUUUAACUGUUGGUGGAUCAGAAUGGCCUGCCUUCAAUUUGCCACCACCAUGGCAACAAUCCUUUGAGGGAGAUGGUCUUAAACCACAAUCCAGUUCAGCAAUAGCUGGAUCAGAAUGGCCUGCCUUAAACUCAGCAGCAACACAGCAACAGACUCAUGAGUUGGGUUAUCUUAAACUGCAAUCAAGUUCAGCCCUGGAGGGAUCAGAAUGGCCUGCCUUAAACUUGGCACCAACUCUGCAACAGGCUUCUUUACACAGGCUUCUUUAACUCAGUGUCAACUCUGUUCAAUCUGUGCCCAUUUCUGCCAAGACUGUAACUCACCAUGUAAAUAAAUAUACAAUUUCCUUCUUGCAUCUGAUGUCAUCAUUUAUAUUUUUAUACUUUUGACUGAUACAUCUCUG
ensembl:lncRNA